rnacentral:tRNA from 1 species
GGCUCGUUGGUCUAGGGGUAUGAUUCCUGCUGUGGGUGCAGGCGGUCCCGGGUUCAAAUCCCGGACGAGCCC